rnacentral:rRNA from 1 species
UACGAAGGGGGCGAGCGUUGUUCGGAAUUACUGGGCGUAAAGCGUGCGCAGGCGGUUGUGCAAGACAGAUGUGAAAUCCCCGGGCUUAACCUGGGAAUUGCAUUUGUGACUGCACGGCUAGAGUGUGUCAGAGGGGGGUAGAAUUCCACGUGUAGCAGUGAAAUGCGUAGAUAUGUGGAGGAAUACCGAUGGCGAAGGCAGCCCCCUGGGAUAACACUGACGCUCAUGCACGAAAGCGUGGGGAGCAAACAGG